AUUGAACGCUGGCGGCGUGCCUAAUACAUGCAAGUAGAACGCAGUUGCGAACGGGUGAGUAACGCGUAGGUACCUGCCUGGUAGCGGGGGAUAACUCUUGGCAACGAUAGCUAAUACCGCAUACUACCAGAUGUACCUGCGUUUUAUUAGCUAGUUGGUGAGGUAACGGCUCACCAAGGCAACGAUACAUAGCCGACCUGGGAGGGUGAUCGGCCACACUGGGACUGAGACACGGCCCAGACUCCUACGGGAGGCAGCAGUAGGGAAUCUUCGGCAAUGGGGGGAACCCUGACCGAGCAACGCCGCGUGAGUGAAGAAGGUUUUCGGAUCGUAAAGCUCGGUUGGUAAGGAAGCGGUACUUAACCAGAAAGGGACGGCUAACUACGUGCCAGCAGCCGCGGUAAUAC
rnacentral:rRNA from 1 species